rnacentral:misc_RNA from 1 species
UCUCCGUAGGUGAACCUGCGGAGGGAUCAUUACUGAGUGAGGGCUCACGCCCGACCUCCAACCCUUUGUGAACACAUCUUGUUGCUUCGGGGGCGACCCUGCCGUUUCGACGGCGAGCGCCCCCGGAGGAUAUCAAAACGCUGCAUCUUUGCGUCGGAGUAUCAAUCAAAUUGAACAAAACUUUCAACAACGGAUCUCUUGGUUCUGGCAUCGAUGAAGAACGCAGC